CAAAUACAAAGUGUCAGGCAAGAGAAACCGGUGCAGUUUUGCAUUAGGUCCUGCCUGAUCUAAACAGUUGGACACAAAGCUUUACAGAUGCACAAAUGCAGUCCCAGCCAGUCAGCCGCCCAGUGCCAUCCAACCUUGACUCUGAACCUGUGAGAAGUCUUCAGCACAAACCUGUGUAACUGUGUGACAGGGCACAUGUAUUGCAUGUGCAUGGGUUAAACUGCUGGUGUGGUGAAGGGGAUGUGUUAACUCUUUAGUACUCAACCUAGUGACUAUCCUGGGUAGCUGGGUGACAGGGCUCAUGUGUUGCAUAAAACGGCUGGU